rnacentral:rRNA from 1 species
CCUACGGGAGGCAGCAGUGGGGAAUCUUCCACAAUGGACGAAAGUCUGAUGGAGCAACUCCGCGUGCAGGAUGAAGGCCCUCGGGUCGUAAUCUGCUUUUAUGAGUGAAGAAUAUGACGGUAACUCAUGAAUAAGGGUCGGCUAACUACGUGCCAGCAGCCGCGGUAAU